AGCAGAGAUAAAGGGUCCAAGCCUACUUCAACAUCUUCUCUUUCAAUAGGCUUAACCACUCCAUAAAAGCUAUUCCUUUUAGUAGUUGUAUCUUUGGAUUGUGGUUUCUUGAUUUGGGACUCAGCUGACUGUUCAAGGUUCACAUCUUCCAUUGUGGUCAUGUUUUCAUCUCUUCCAUUCUCAAGAUGUUCCUGCCCUUCCCCAGGUUCUUCCAGCACUGGUGAAGACCUAUGCUCCAAUUCCCAACUACUCUCAGUCACACAACUCCAAGUGCCACUUAUGCCAGAAACCUGCUGGUCAACAGUACUUUCAAAGCUGUGGGACUUACUGGUAUGACAGGGUGAAGUUUUAGCCCCAGAUAAAGCUGCUGUUAAGAUCUUGGUGUCCUUUAUCUUCUCAUGCUGUCCCUCUUGGUGUCACCUCUUGUUGUCCCCUUCUGGUGCCCCUUGUCCCCUCUUGGUGUCCUUUGGCCCCCCUUGUCCCCUCUGCAGAUGGAGCAGAUGUUGGGUGCUUUCCAGUGUGACCUGAGCAGCAUCAGCUCCAAGAUCCGAACCCUCUAGGACCACUCAGUGGCCAUGAACCUUCAGCUCCGCAACCACCAUGCUGUCUGACGUCACCUGGGCCAACUCCUGGAUGAGCUGGUGGUCCCGGCCACCAUGAUCAGCACCAUCCUAGAGGUGCCGGUGACGGAACCCGAAUUCCUGGAGCAGCUGCAGGAGCUCAAUGGGAAGGUCAAUGUGGUGAAGGAGCAGGCAUUUAGGGACACCGUGGCCUGUGCUGACACCGAGCACAUUCUGGAGAAGCUCAAGAUUAAGGUUCUUCUACCAGUUCCCUGGGCCACGAGCAGAUGAUGACACAGGAGCUGUGCGAGGCCUACGUGGACACCAUGAGCAAGAUCUAUUUCUCCUACUUAAAUUCUACACCAGCCACCUCAUGAAGAUCCAGGUGGGGAUGCGGCACUCCUGUUCUGCUCCACUUCCACUCCUGGUCUGAUCCUGCUCUCACUCGGCUCUCGUUCCUGACACGUUUUGCUCUGGUUCAGCUCCGGUUCCGCUCUGAUGUCACUCUAAUUCCUCUCUGAUCCCGCUCCGGUUCUGCUCCUGGUCUGCUCCUGCUCUCACUUGGCUCUCAUUCCAUGCCAGUUUCACUCUGGAUCCGCUCCAGUUCCACUCCCAUUCUGAUCCUGCUCUCACUUGGCUCUUGUUCCGUGCCAGUUCUGCACUACUACUGCUCUGGUUCUGCUCCUGGUCUGAUCCUGCUCUCCCUUGGCUCUCAUGCUGUGCCAGUUCCGCUCUGAUUCUGCCCCGGUCCUGCUCCAGUUCUGCUCCCAUUCUGAUCCUGCUCUCACUUGGCCCUCGUGCCAUGCCUGUUCUGCUCUGGUUCUGCUCCAGUUCAGCUCUGAUCUCACUCCAAUUCUGCUCUGAUCCCACUACGGUUCCGCUCCCAGUCUGAUUCUGCUCCCACUUGGCUCUGACUCUGUGCCAGUUUUUCUCCAGUUCUGCUCCCGGUUUGAUCCCGCUCUCAUUUGGCUCUCGUUCCAUGCCAGUUUCGCUCUGGUUCUGCUCCAGUUCUGCUCCGGUUCCACUCUGAUACUGCUAUGAUUCUGCUCUGAUCUCACUAAUUCUGCUCCGGUUCCGCUCCAGUUCUGCUCCCAGUCUGAUCCUGCUCUCAUUUGGCUCUCAUUCCGCUCCGGUUACGUUCCCAGUCUGAUCCUGCUCUCUUUUGGCUCUCGUACUGUGCCACUUUCACUCUGAUUCUGCUCCGAUUCCACUCUGAUCUCAUUCUAAUUCUGUUCUGAUCCCACUCUGGUUCUGCUCCCUGUCUGAUCUUGGUCUCACUUGGCUCUCAUUCUGUGCCAGUUCCGCUCUGCUUCUGCUCUGGUUCCACUCCGGUUUCGCUCUCAUUCUGGUCUGAUUCUGCUCUGUUCUCACUUUAUUUCCACUCUGGUUCUGCUCUGGUUCCACUCCAGUCCUGCUCCCGGCAUGAUUCUGCUCUCACUUGGCUCUCAUUCUGUGCCAGUUCUGUGCUGGUUCUGCUCUGGUUCUGCUCCAGUUUUGCUGUGAUUCUGCUCUGAUCGCACUCUAAUUCCACUCUGAUUCCGCUCCAGUUCCACUCUGAUCUCACUCUAAUCCCGCUCCGGUUCCAUUCCAGUUCUGCUCCCGGUCUGAUCCUGCUCCCACUUGGCUCUGGUUCUGCUCCGGUUCCACUCCUGGUCUGAUCCUGCUCUCGCUUGGCUCUUGUGCCGUGCCAGUUUUGCUUUGGUUCUUCUCUGUUUCCACUCCAGUUCCACUCUGAUUCUGCUCUAUUUCUGCUCUGAUCUCACUCUAAUUCCACUCCGAUCCUGCUGCUGUUCUGCUCCCAGUCUGAUCCUGCUCUCACUUGGCUCUCAUUCUGUGCCAGUUCCGCUCUGCUUCUGCUCUGGUUCCACUCCAGUUUUGCUCUCAUUCUGGUCUGAUUCCGCUCUGUUCUCACUUUAUUUCCACUCUGGUUCUGCUCCGGUUCCACUCCAGUCCCGCUCCCUGUCUGAUCCUGCUCUCACUUGGCUCUUGUUCCACACCAGUUCUGCUCUGGUUCUGCUCCAAUUCUGCUCCCAGUCUGAUCCUGCUCUCACUUGGUGUCCAGGCCCAGAAUGGUCAGGUCUGGGGAGAUUCUUUGUUAUUCCCAGAGUUAGAUUAAGAGACAAAUGAGAUCAGAUUCUGUAACAAAAGGUAGUUUAAUAGUUUCAAAAAGAAAGUUUGCAUAGAGGCAGAAAGAGAGAGAAAGAAAAGGAAAAAAAGUAAAAUAGAAGGUGCAAUAGCUACCACCACAGAGCUGCGGCGUCCCAUCAGUCUGAAUCGACUUCAUGUCAGGUGGGGAAUUCCACUGGGUGCUGGUAAUCAUGGUUCUUUUACUGAGGUGUCUCAGCCUUCUCCACACCCUCCCCACCCCCCACUCAGCAGUGGUGCACAUGCCCAAUACCAUCUCUGUGGGGAGCUUGUCCCUGGGUCUGGGCACAUGUGCCUGGGUAAGGGUACAAACAGGAGAUGUGUGGUUUUGUGGUCGUUGCUGCGACGAUGAGGUAAGGCAAGAUGUUCCAGCAAUGUUGAGGCAUCUGUUGCAAACACGGUUUCGACAAAGGCCUUUACGCUUGGCUCUCAUUCUGUGCCAGUUUUGCUUCGGUUCUGCUCUGAUUCUGCUCUGAUCUCACUCUAAUUCUGCUCUGGUUUUGGUCCAAUCCCAUUCUUAUUCUGAUCUGAUUCCACUCUGAUCUCUGAUUCCAAUAUGAUUCCUCUCCGAUUCUGCUCCAGUUCAGAUACGAUUCCGCUCUGAUUCUACUCCAGUUUUGUUCUGAUCACGCUUCGAUUCUACUCUGAUUUCACUCUUAAUUCUGCUCCGAUUCCGCUCUGAUCUCAUUCUAAUUCCGCUCCGAUCUCACUCUAAUUCUGCUCCGAUUCCACUCUGAUCUCACUCUAAUUCCGCUCUGAUUCUGCUCUGAUCUCACUCUAAUUCUGCUCCAAUUCCACUCUGAUUUCACUCCAAUUCCACUCACAUUCUGAUCCUGCUUUCCUUCUGCUCUCAUUCUUUGCCAUUUCUUCUCCAAUACACUCCCAUUCCACUUCGAUUCUGAUCCUGCUCUCAUUCCUUGCCAUUUCUGCUCCGAUUCCUCCCUGAUUCUGCUCCAAUUUCCCUUCCAUUCUGAUCCUGCUCUCCUUCUGCUCUCAUUCCAUGCUAUUUCUGCUCCGAUUCCACUCUAAUUCCGCUUCAAUUCCACUCCCAUUCUCAUCCUGCUCUCCUUCUGCUCUCAUUCCAUGCCGUUUCUUCUCUGAUUUCACUCUGAUUCCACUCCAAUUCUUAUCCUGCUCUCAUUCCAUGCCAUUUCUUCUCCAGUUCUGCUCCACUUCCACCCUGAUUUGUCUCAGCUCCCCCUUGCAGUACGAGGAGGUGGCCGAGAAGGACAACCUCAUGGGUGUGGAGGACACCACCAAGAAAGAUAUUCUCCAAUUAAUGGCAUGAUGACAAGUCUUGGUCUCCAUUUGGGCUUUUUUGGGGGGGUUCCUGGACCUCCUCGUUGGUUCCCUGACUCUGGAUUCCCUCGUGGUUCUUCUCCAAGCCCUCCUUAAAGAACCGCAACACCGUCUUCACCUUGGGCAACCGCGGCAGUGUCAUCGGUGGCGCUGAGCUAGAGGCUCCCAUGGUGAUCAGGUCAACAGGAUGAGGUCAGCGAGUUGAUGUCAAUGGGAUGAGCUCAACGAGAUGUCAAGCAGAUGAGGUCAACGGGAUGAGAUCAGCGGGAUGAGGUCAACUAGAUGUCAAUGUGACAAGGUCAAUGGGAUGAGGUUGAAGGGAUGAGGUCAGCAGGAUGAGGUCAGCGAGAUGAAGUCAGCGGGUUUUGGAUGACGAGAUGAGUUCAAGAGGAUGAAGUGUGAAAAAAUACCUUGAGCCUUUUUACUUCUCCAUGCUAUCAUUCAGUGGGCACUUUAGAUAGAGCAAUGAAUCCUCACUGGAUUUAUACAGUUGUAAUAUGGAGCAGACGUCUUCCAAAAAUGAAGUUAGACUCUUUGCACCUACCAAAAUAUAGGUUGCAUAAAUAUAGAUCUGUCCUCUGUAAGUAGAGUUGACUUUUUAACAUCAGUUCUACAGGAUUUAGUCUUUAAUAAGAAAACCAUUCACACCAAACCCAUUUUUUUUUCCUGAUAGCUAACAUUACCCUUUUCAGUUCUGAUAUUUGUCACCAUUUGUGUCCAUAGUACUGCCUUUGGUCCGAUUUUCUACUGCACAUCUAAAACUUCUGACUGACCUCAAUGUUAUUACCCUCAAAUGCUGUACUGUUACACUCUGAUAACCAGCAGUGCUUUUUUUUCCAUCAUUUCUUACAAUACAGUUAGGUUAACAUUCUUGUCUCAGCUAGUUCUAUAAUUCUCACAGUUGUUUUAGAAUUUUAUAUUUAAUUCUGCUGUUCAAUAAUAGAAAAACCCUACCAAUAUCAUGACUCCUACAAGAAAUAUUACUCUGUCUUUCUAAGCUUUUAUCUCAUUUCAAAUAAAACUGAAAUAUUUCUACUUUAUCUGGCAGAACUGUCCACGAGUCUCCUCUGAAAGUCUAUUUUACUGUUUAGGAAUUUAUAGUGAAGUUCACUGAUCAGCUAUAAUCAGGUUCUAGAAAUUAAAUUUGUAAAACUUUUUUUUUUACUUAAUUAACCUAGAGGCAACAAGAUGAGAAAUAAGUCCCAAAUUAUUUGAUUCUAUACACAUACUGAACCAUGUACACACAUACUGACACUGGGUAUACCUAUAUAAAUGUGCACACAAAUGAGAUGUAUAAACCUAGGGCUAAUACAUUUCUAGGCAGACACAUGACACAGCAGUAUAACCAUGCUAAGAAUGUGCAAAGUGAGAUCAGCUGGCAGCAUGAUCUAGAUUUGCCAAAGUCCACUCAACUUUUCCAUUGGCUAUCGAAAGGCAAAGAACAUGUUAUAAGGUUAGCUAGUUAUAUGAACUUCCCCUACUCUAUUUUUUAAUAUAAAUGUGAUUUGUGCUAAUUAUAAGAUACUGUUUCAUGCAGCACUAAUCACAAAUCCCAUACUACUAAUUUACAUUUAUUGCAUUAUUAUACUAUGUUUUUUUUUAAUAUAUUACUUGAUUUUUCAAAUUAUCCUUUUAAGAAGUAAGGAUAAGGGUGAUAGAAGUAGCCAGGGGACUCAGGUGCUUGAUUAACCCUUCAUUUAUUACCAAGAUCCUAAAUUCCUCACCAGUUGCUACCCAGCACUACAAACACCAACAAAUCCUCUCUGUUACUACAAAUCAAAUCCUGAGUCUGCUCUAUUGCUGAGACACACCAAGAAAAAUGAAGUGUUGAAUCCAUGGCCUGGUGACCAAGCAUGUAUCUGGCUUAUUGACAAUCACAGAAUCAUAAAAUCAUAGAAUCACUAGGUUGGAAAACACCUCUUAGAUCAUAGAGUCCAAAUGUAAGUGCUGAUCUUGUGAGUAUUUAUUUGGGCACAGAGAAAAGCCAAAGCAAUGAGCAGUGCGAAAAUUUGUGUUCUCCUGCACUUAUGGAGAACUAGGAGGGCUUGGAAGUUGUAUGGAUAAUGUAAACUGAAAUAAGAAAAUAGUUGUGAUUUCUGAGGAGGGAAUGUCAAGUCCCAUCACAGAGGUGAAUGCUAUAAAGAUUCCCAAAUAAGGCAGCACAGAGCAGCUUUCUGCACUCCUCCAACACCAAGGGCAUCUCUUUUACAUAGCUUAUUCACAAAAGUUAACUCCCACCUGACAUGGGCCAAUAUCCUUAUAUCAUGUUGUAUUUCACAGAGAGGAACAAACCCCUUCAAACAGGGAACAUGGUGAACAGGGACCGAAUCACCCUCUAAAAAGAUUUGUCUCUCCUGCUGACUGCAGAGGAAGCCUAGUGAUAAGCAUCACCAGGGUAAUGUUUUCUGUGAAAGACCAAGGACAGAACAAAGCUGCUGAAUAUAACAACUUAAUUCAGUAGUAAUUGUACAAAUACUCAGAUCACGACAGCAAACCAACACACACAGGUGUCGUAGUGACAGCAGAGCAGCGAUACUGAUAAAGCGUUGCUGGCUGCCUGCUUACACCAGGGCUGCUCAAUUGCAUCGAGCAGCCUCUGCUGCCAAAGCCUGGUGACUUGUUAGAAAGGAAUCAACUUUGAACAUAACUUUAGUUCGUGAUUUUCAAAACCCUUACUCUGAUGAAGAAUUUAGAGAAGACAUCUCUGCACCUCCAUUUCUAGUCCAUCCGUCUCACAAGUUUGAGAUAGCAGGUUUUAAAUAAAGAAUUGAGUUACUAGCAGCAGAUACACAUACAUACGCGAGUAUAUAUACUAAAAUUGGAAAAAAAUAUAUUUCCUUGGUAUUUAAACUCUUACCAUAACAAAACCUGGUUAUAUGAGGUUUGUCUUGUAGCAGCAAAUUUCCCAUUUUUUCUUCCAAUUUCCCAACGUUUAAAAUUGCUGUUGCAUCCUACCUUCUGUACUAGUUCUGCUCAUACAUGAAUUAAACAUUCAUUACAAAAAGUAAAUACCAACAUUUUUCAACUGAAAGAAUUAAGACAACCUCCAUUUGAUUAAAAUUUUUACAGAUAAUCUUAAUGAAAUUUAGAAAGUCCAAAAAUUUAUUGAAUAUCCUAUCAUCUCCUCCUGAUGAGACCUUAUUAUCCUUUGUUGUACAGUUCAUAGCAAUUCGACCCUUUAAGUUUCACAAUGGCUCAAAUACUUCAAACUUCUGCCACCACCUCUGGGAGUUAUUUCCACAGUCCACCAAAAUCAGAAUAGUAAAAAAAAAAAAUAGAUUUCCUAACUUUCAUCCUGUAUUUUCUCUUUUUUCACUUUUUCUUCCCUGAAUCAUGGAAACUUGUCAACAAAUCUGUCUCACUCAAUAUUACUGUCGUCUCCUUUUUCUCCUUUGUGAUGCUUAUGAAUUAAGAUAUGCUAGGCACAUAAAAAGCAAGCACAUCAUGACAUCAUGGUUGGAAAAGCAUCAAAUGUAAAUAACUUAUUUUCUUGCUGCGUUUCGUAGGCAAGUCAUAGGAAUACUUAGAUUUCUGUUUAUACACUUUAACAUCUAUGAUUAAGGAGUAUCACCAGUACCAGAGUCUUAUCUGCUACUGAACCUCACUCUCAGAAUAUUAAAGCAUCAUUCAAGGGAAUACUGGAAUCUGUUCUGGUCCCCUGGGAAACAUUUCAAAACCAUAUCAAGGUGGUUUCCCUGCAGUGAAUCUCCUCUUUUUUUUUUAUCCAUACAUUAGAUAUUUACAUGAAAGAAAAUCCUGCAAAUCCCUUCAGAAGACUACUUUUAAAGGAAACACAGUAGGAAUAUUCUGUUCUACACAGCAGAAGGAUUUCUAGAUGCUGUUUUACUCAAUCUCACACAAAAAGAGAAAAGUGAAAGCCUAAAAC